UACGAAGGGGGCGAGCGUUGUUCGGAAUUACUGGGCGUAAAGGGCGCGUAGGCGGCCCUCUUUGUCGCGUGUGAAAGCCCCGGGCUCAACUGGGAACGGCGCGCGAAACGGGGGGGCUGGAGUUCGGGAGAGGAGCGUGGAAGUUCCCAGUGUAGAGGUGAAAUUCGUAGAUAUUGGGAAGAACACCGGUGGCGAAGGCGGCGCUCGUGGACCGAGACUGACGCUGAGGCGCGGAAAGCGUGGGGAGCAAACAGG
rnacentral:rRNA from 1 species